rnacentral:rRNA from 1 species
AUUGAACGCUGGCGGCAGGCCUAACACAUGCAAGUCGAGCGGAUGAAGGGAGCUUGCUCCUGGAUUCAGCGGCGGACGGGUGAGUAAUGCCUAGGAAUCUGCCUGGUAGUGGGGGAUAACGUCCGGAAACGGGCGCUAAUACCGCAUACGUCCUGAGGGAGAAAGUGGGGGAUCUUCGGACCUCACGCUAUCAGAUGAGCCUAGGUCGGAUUAGCUAGUUGGUGGGGUAAAGGCCUACCAAGGCGACGAUCCGUAACUGGUCUGAGAGGAUGAUCAGUCACCCUGGAACUGAGACACGGUCCAGCCUCCUACGGGAGGCAGCAGUGGGGAAUAUUGGACAAUGGGCGAAAGCCUGAUCCAGCCAUGCCGCGUGUGUGAAGAAGGUCUUCGGAUUGUAAAGCACUUUAAGUUGGGAGGAAGGGCAGUAAGUUAAUACCUUGCUGUUUUGACGUUACCAACAGAAUAAGCACCGGCUAACUUCGU